UCAGUUCAUUUACCUCCUGUCUGAGGCCCUUGAGGGUGUGGGCCAAGGAGAAGAUGAUGCUGGUCAGGUCCUGGUGGUUCAGGAUGGGUGUCAGGUGUCCACUUGUGUCGCAGUCUCGCUGUUCCUUUCUCUGCCAUUGCAGGUCAGAUCGAAAGAGCAC